UUAGUAGCUCAGCGUU
rnacentral:tRNA from 1 species